AACUUCGGUUAGGCGCACUAAUGGGUGUCGCGGCCCAUACAAAUUUGAUUGCAUAUGAGAAAUGCAAUAUAGACUAGGAAGUGACUCUUAGGUCGUCUAUCAAGGACCAACUGUGGUUCAGGACUUAGGUCUAACACGUAGUGGGGGGGUUUGUGAAAAUCUUUGUGAAUACGGAUAACUAAAUUAAAACACGAAUGCAAACAAAAGUGUAAAAAGAAAUGUAAAAACAG
rnacentral:lncRNA from 1 species